GGGUGGUCCAGUGUGCAGUGUGUGUGGAGUUGGUGAGGGAAUAAACAACACAGCAGUGAACUCACAUGUCUCUGUGUCCUGAUGACUGGAUUUACAAACGUAUGAACAAAACAUGGUGUCAGAAGAAGUUUAACUUGGACUGCUAGUGCUCUCAGAGUGUGAAAGAAUCUUGCAGAAGUCUGUGGCUGUGAUACUCUGUGUCUGCAAAGCCUGCCGUGUGCUCCUAUCUUCAAACAGAAAAGGUCUUUGCCUAGACAAGAAAAGUCAAGCUGGUCACAUACGGUAAUUGCCUCCAUUGUGAGACUAUCGGCUAGGAAAUGGAUCCAAAGGCUUCAUCUCCGCAGAAGCAUGCUGUGAAGGGACGCUCAAAAUCCACAGAGGAGAUACAGCAAGCAAAAAAGGCAUUCCAUACCACACAGAAGUCCCUGCCAGGCACAGGAGAGGAAAGUAACGUGCAGGAUUCUGGAGAAGCUGCAGAUGAGAAUUCUCCAAAGGGAAGCGAAGGACAAAUACAGAAUUGAUAUGAAGAAACGUGUGUCAGGAAAUUAGCAUUGAGACUUCCCAUCCUCGUAUCAAAGAGUCUGUUUGUUUCCUGUUGUAACUGCAUGUAUGCCUGUGCGUCUUUUUGUAGAUAUGGGUGUAUGUAUGUUUCUGUGAGUGAUCUUGUUUUCAUGUUUCUAUACUACUGAUAACCAAAAGACAACUUCUACAAAAUGAUACUUAUGUACAGUUGGACAUACAGUAAGCGAACUUUGAGUAUUUUUUCAACUGCACAAGUGUACCAACAAUUGUCAUGUGUCCUUUCCCACACGUCCUUGCCCAUUGCACUUAGGAAGGUAGAAUGGGGCUUGAAGAAGAUAAACGUGACCAAAGUACAGUGAAUGCAGAGGCAUAUGUGCUCAACACCUUGUGCAAAAUCCAAACUGAUGAAGUUGAUGAUCAGAAACCAGUUCUGAUUGGCUGAAUGUGUCUGACUCCCUCCCACUUAUACUAAUCCUAUAGUAAUUGCUGUAAUCUAGUCAUAUUAAUACAGUGAUAUUUGUAAUUGGUUAAUAGAAAUAAAGUUGCCUUUUUAUUUCUUAAA